CAGCUGAUCCGCACACACGUCGCGGGAUCGAUACUCUGCCUGGAAACACCGUAAACUAACCGGAACCAGCGGCUCACACACACGGACGGUCUCACAGGCUACGUGGGGGUCGAUUAGGCUUACGAGUGUGGUGAUGGGAGGAGAUCAGAGCCAUGAGAGGAAGGCUGAGGAGGAAGAGGAGGAGACGUCAGGAGAGAAACCGCAAGAGUCAGAAAGCAGCUCAGGAUCUGCUGCUGAAGACGCUGCAGAGCUGCCUCAGUGCCGGAUGGGCAACCGGACGGUGGACAACAUGUGUUUCAUGAUUUCGUGCACUAACUGGUACUGAAGUGAUCCUGCAACACAGAGGAUCAGAAGUUAAUGUGAGAAAGACUGAGAGAGAAGCUGGAGAGUAUGGCGUUUGAACUGUGGGUCAGAUGCUGCAUUCAAGAACCCACCGAAAAUCCCAGCGUCACAUUCUGCUCCUGAGAGGACGAGUUUGAAGCUUCCUGCAGAGUGAAUAUGAAGUUAGAGGAUGAGUGAAGCUCUCUGUAAGGCUGACUCAUGCUUGUGUGCUUUGACCUUUGACCUGCUGUUCUUCCUGUAUUAUACCCUGACAGGAGCGGACUGCAUUCGUUUUCACUUAAAGUUAAAAUAGUGUGUUUCUGUAACAACCCUGGAUGUUUUAGGGGCACAUGUAGGUGUUUAGAGUGAAAAAAUGAUUGUUAUUUUAAGAGGACGAAAUGUUUUAUUUUCUUCUUUUUUUCUGUAUCAC